AGUACCAAAUGGGCCAGGCUAUUUCGCUAGAGAAAACCUCAAAGUGAACUCGGGGUGCAGGGAUUCAGGUGAGUUGAUGUUGUCAGUCGCUAUGUGCUGCGGAGACUUUUAUUCAGCAAGAGAAGGAAAGUUUGUAUAAAAUAUGGAUGGGCGUUAUUUAACGAUAACUCCAAAUAUCUCGGCCGAAAAAAUGGAGCUUCUUUGGCUGUUCUUGCGACGACGGAGAAAGAUCAGAAAAAGACAAUAUCGCGUUCAUCCUCUUUG